rnacentral:rRNA from 1 species
AUUGAACGCUGGCGGCAGGCCUAACACAUGCAAGUCGAGCGGAGCGGCGGACGGGUGAGUAAUGCAUAGGAAUCUGACUGGUAGUGGGGGAUAACGUAAGGAAACGGGCGCUAAUACCGCAUACUAGCAGAUGAGCCUAGGUGGGAUUAGCGAGUUGGUGGGGUAAAGGCCUACCAAGGCGACGAUCCGUAACUGGGCUGAGAGGAUGAUCAGUCACACUGGAACUGAGACACGGUCCAGACUCCUACGGGAGGCAGCAGUGGGGAAUCUUGGACAAUGGGCGAAAGCCUGAUCCAGCCAUGCCGCGUGUGUGAAGAAGGUCUUCGGAUUGUAAAGCACUUUAAGUUGGGAGGCGUUACCAACAGAAUAAGCACCGGCUAACUUCGUGCCAGCAGCCGCGGUAAUUC